UCAAACAUGUACGAAUAUUCGAUGGACUAGCCUAACCCUCUUUUAAAUUAGAAUUAGAAUAUAUGAAUAACUUUUAGGGAAUAUUUUGAGUUUAAAUGUUUUUAGCUUUCACUAAAUCCUCGUAGUUUACUAAUAUUCCACUCAAAUUUAACUAACCAAAUCAAUUCAUGUUAGAUUUGUUUUUUUUCUUUGUUUGUUUAGUUUUGACAUUCAAAUAAGAAAACCAAAGCCCCCACUCUACUGACUGAACACCUCUAAAUUCUUAAAACUUUAGCAUAAACUGUGGAUCUUCUAAGGCAUACAUUAUACAUAUACCUAUAACGAUGAGACAGACCAAACAUCAAACAAAACCUAGUUAGCCUCUGCAAAGGUGACUAUGAAGCCCCCACCUAUGUGUUGGAGGAUGGGCCUUCGGCCCACUCGCAAACUGGACAUAAGGAGAAAAGCCGAAAGCAUAUGAAUGGCCCAGAUCGAACCGAUGAACCUCCUCCACACGCAAGGAACAGACGGUUGGAUCGACCGCCGAUGAUAGACGUAAACCUACGCAAGCGAUAGUGUAAUGAUGAUCGCCGAACCUAACCACUAACAACUCCGCCGAUUACUGUAGCAUGCCAGAAUGUAAUCAUGACGAACAAAUAACUUCUCCACGCAAUGGGCAUCUAUAAAAGAAGAGGUGUGACCAUUGAUAAGGGACACAAAAAUCUUACCACGAGAGACUAGAGAGAGAAAAGAGAAAGAGAAGUAGUUUAGCUAACAAGCUUGUCAUUACGAUGACGAGUUCUUUCUUCGUAACUCUAUUCAGUCUUUUGCUUACACUUUAAUAAACGAAACUUUUGGCCCAUUAAUCACUCC
rnacentral:lncRNA from 1 species